rnacentral:lncRNA from 1 species
GGGAAAUUUGGGAACCCAGAGGUCAAGAUUCUACUGAAAGUUAAAUAAUUUGUAAGUACCUCAGGCUGGAUUUAAGCCCAGGAUCCUUAAAGCCUUAGCCCUUUGCCCUCAACACAGUGCCCUCCUUGGCCUGGAAUGGAUCUAACUAGUGGAUGCCUCUGGCAGCCCUUGGUACCUGCCUCUUUGGAAGGCACCUCCGGUCACAUCAGGAGCAUGGAUGGGGCCCCACCUGCAUACACAUGGAGAUGGACUCAUCCUCCAGCUACUUUGGAUACCGUGGCUCCCAUUUUUCUACUUUCUCUGAAGGAUUGAAGCCACCUUGCCCAGAAGUCACUGGGAGUUAUGCCUCCUCCCUAAGGAUGGCCCACAGCCAGUGCCUCAUUGGAGCAAGAGGUACAGAAGCCCUGCUCCCUCAUCUGAAGAUGGGGCAGGCUCCGCAGUGCAAUCCAUGCACCCGAGCUCCCAUGGCAUCAGACUGACAUUGCUGGAAGCCACAGUCUUCCUCAGCUUCUCCUUCCCUGUCCUGCUUCCCUCACUCCCUUAUGGUUUUCUCCUGAGGGCACUCCCUUAAUAAAUCACUUGCGUCAAGAAUCCACAUCAUGGGCUCUGCUUCUAGGGAAACUGGCAGUUCACAAUCUUAGAAUAUAUUAUAUAUUUAGUUCCUCUUUGGGGGUAAUAACUUUACCUGCCUGAGGGCAGAAGUAUUUAUAU